CAGGUCGUAGGCCAAUAAGGUGUCAAGGGGGCAUGGUCGGUUCGAGUCAAGUUAGAUCCAAGGCUUGCCGCUGCUGCUCCAAUGGAGGAGGCUGAUCGGAUUUGGAGAGAGGUCACGACAGCUGCCUUUAAUGUUAUCCCCGUCGAGCCCGUGCUGGUUCCACCUGUGAUCGAUCGGUGCCAUGUGUCCUGCAAAAACCAAAAAGAAGGACGGCAGCGAGCCCAGCUCGUUGAUUCGGCUGCCCUUCUGCACUUCCACCCACCGCUCGCAUCCAUCAUGUAUACCUGAACCUCCAAUCGAAACCUAGUAAGCCCUUCAAUCUCCCUCAGGAUAAACAUAUAUCGGAUGGGCUCUGUCUUUUGUUUUUUUUUUUAAGGAAAUGGAUGGGCUCUUUGUCACCAUAACUGAGUUUCAGUGCUGGAUUUUAUCUAUUUUGAAGGUAGCACGAAUUCUCUGCUGGGCUCAAGUUUCCAUUCUUUACUUCAACAAUCAUGGUAUCCGUGUUUUAAACUUCUUGCUAGUUAUGUUCUGGUUUGUAACUUGAAUAUAUUAUCGAGCCAUACGGUGUGUUUCAGUGUUUGGAACA